GGCUGGUCCGAAAGUAGUGAGUUAUCUCAGUUGACUGUUCACAGUCAGUUACAGAUCGGACCCCUUGUUCUGCUCUUCCCCCCGCUUCUCACUGCUGCACUUGACUAGUCUUAA
rnacentral:Y_RNA from 1 species